rnacentral:lncRNA from 10 species
UGGGCAGCUUACCCAGCACCAGAUCAGGAGUUGAUUCCAAGAGCACUCCCUCCCAAAAGUCCUGCAUGCUGAUCUUCAUCUCAGAGCCUGCUUCCCAGGGAGCAAAGCUAGAGCAACCCUGUGAAGGCUCACAUCGUUGUUCCCACUGCCUGAGAGCCCCCACGAACACCUUUGCCUCAUCUCCCAAUACUGCUGAUUGUCUCAACUUCCCCUCAGGCCAAGGGCCAGGCUUUGGGCACAGCUUCAACCAUGAUGAUCAUGCCAGGGGCUACAGCUGCUCCAGUGCUCAGCUGUGACCUGGCUGGACAAACAGAGGCCCAGCUGCCCUGAGUGUGGGAGAAAAUAAAGCUCUGUGGGGGAGGACUUUGAUA